UACAGCCAUAUCACAUUUAAGCACAGGUUCUCGUCCGAUUACAGAAGUUAAGCAACAUCGUGUCUUUUCAGUACCUAGAUGGGUGACCACAUGGGAAUAUCAGGUGCUGUAAU